CUAAUUUAACAACUUGUUCAACAUGAAUCAUGUUCAAAAACCUAUGAACUUCCAUAACCUGCACUUAAUUUCAACAAAACUUUAUUUUAAAGCUUCUAAAAUAUCAAAAUUAAGAGAAAAAGGCUAAAUUUAGCUUACCAAUUAAACUUGAAGCUUUAAAAUCCCAAUUUUUCCCUUUUCUUUUCUUUCCCUUUUUCUUCCCC
rnacentral:lncRNA from 1 species